rnacentral:rRNA from 1 species
UAGGGAAUAUUGGACAAUGGGGGGAACCCUGAUCCAGCCAUGCCGCGUGGAGGAAGACUGCCCUCUGGGUUGUAAACUCCUUUUAUAUGGGAAGAACCGUCCUCAUUGAUGAGUGACCUGACGGUACCAUAGGAAUAAGCACCGGCUAACUCCGUGCCAGCAGCCGCGGUAAUACGGAGGGUGCAAGCGUUAUCCGGAUUCACUGGGUUUAAAGGGUGCGUAGGCGGAUAUGUAAGUCAGUGGUGAAAUCUUACAGCUUAACUGUGAAACUGCCUUUGAUACUGCAAGCCUAGAGUAUGGAAGAGAGUGAUGGAAUAUCUGGUGUAGCAGUGAAAUGCGUAGAUAUCAGAUAGAACACCAAUGGCGAAGGCAGUCACUUGGUCCAUUACUGACGCUAAAGCACGAAAGCGUGGG